UAAAGAUGAUAGCUAAUAUUCCAAAAUUCACGUUAACUAUGACCGAGUAUAUGGGCUCUCUUUAUACUCCCAGUCUCCCAAUUGAACAUCACCAAGAGGUAAUUUGGUAAUAACACAAAUAAUGUUUUAUAGCAUCGUUAGUUAUAUAGUUGAUGCUAAUAAAUCUUCGUUCACGCUUGACGCUUCUAAGUACUAAUGUAGUUACGUCAUGUGACCUCAUUACCAUAUUACGUCUAUAGUACAUAAUAAUAUUUUGUUUAAUACAUUUUUAUUUCAUAGGUAAAUUGUUGCGGUUAUUAACGUGUGCAGAUGAUCCUAGAAAUGAAAUUAUCCAUGCGAGUUUUGACAAAUUUAUAGAAUAUGUGAAGGAACAGUACAAAGGGGAAACAUUGCACCAAAUCGUAAGGGAAUUCUUCAUGUAUAUUGCAAAAACAAAAGCAGACAACAAAUUAAAAACACCAGAAGAAUUUUGUACUGACCUCUCCAAAACACAAAAAAAUAAUAUGACUGAAAUAGAAAAAG